CUGUAAAAUGUUGCCCAUUUUAUGGUAGAAAGAGGGGGCCCAGAGGCCUCUCUGGUCCCUGAGGCCAGCACAGCAGCAGGCUCCUAACAGAGGCCCAGCACCACCAGGGGCACAACCUGGCCCUAGAGGAGGAGCCAGGGGCUGAGUGGAGCUCAGUUCCACUCUCCCCCACACACUGUCCACAUACUGUCAUGGUUUGGGGGCUGCCAGAGCCCCUUUGGAGCUUCCUGGCCCGCCUGCCCUUCACGGAGGAUCCCUUGCUGCCUACGGAAGAGAUGUCUCAACUCCAAAGCAGCAGCAGAAGUCAGAGGUGAAUUAGCAGCCAAGAGCAGCCAAGAUCCCAGCUCAUCAACUGUCAUACUGGUGGGACAAAGGGUGCUGAAAGCCAAGCCUCUUUCCAAUGCUCCAAGAGUGAAGCACAAGCCCUACAGACAUUAUAUGAAAAUAUGAACUACAUCAUAUCUGUAGAAACUUGUUUUAUUAGAGACAUGAGUACUAACAACCUUCUGUGCAUAAUCUCUGAAGGAAAUGAACUGGCUUUGUAAGGGAAAGACAGAUGAGAACAAACUAUACUUGCAUAAAAGAACAACUGGAAAUAUGUUGUGUAAGAGGAGGGUCUGGCAGAAACUGAGCACUUUCCAAAGCCUGAGAACUCCUACCAGUGGCAACUUCUGUAAUUUCUGAUGGUGAACAUCCCAUGGGCUGCCAGGGCAGGGAAUGUCUCCAGACCUGCCUGAGGGCUUUCCCAGUCCAGCUGCUGCAGCAGCCUCCUCUCCCAAGCUUCUGAAGCACCAUCUGGAUGCAACAAGACGAUCAUCAAACUCCUGUUUGCCAUAUCUUCAGCCCUUCCCCCACCCUAUGAAGCAUGUCUUUGAGUGAGUUCAUCAUCCUGCCUUCUCAGCAGGUGAAAAUAUCCUCCUUUUUAGCAUCCCAGGGAAGAUAUGGCAAUUGCUGAGGUGUAAUAGCAGACUUUGAACAUCCUCAAGGCUUUUGAACCUGCAUUGUCCUCUUGACACCCAUGACUUGAAUAUAGUCUGGAACUGAUUAACUUGAGUGCUUCAGUCUCUGGAAGGCAAUGUUCUUUCUGCAGUUAAAUAUUUACUUACCAUUGCGCAUGGACCAGGCAUUACAGGAGCCUGAGCAACAUUUGCAUUUUCUCCCCAUAAACUGAAAAAGGAGCAUCCUCCAUAAUUUCAGUGCUGCCACUCCCAUCCAUCAUGGUAGUCCAGUCAUGUCCUGCUCAAGCUAGCCACCUUUGUUAGCUUCAGCAACAUUCCUAAAACCUGAAAUUUGUAGCCCACACCAUGGGGAGGCCACACUGCACAUCCAAAAUAUUCCUUGGUUCCAAAGUACAUCCUCAGAGAAAAACAUGAAUCCUAUUUCUGAAGAAAAACAUGAAUCCUAUUUCUGAAAAUCAUGUGUCGCUAGCACUUGCAAGCACUUUUGCAUGCAUGACACUGCUUGGGGAGAGAUUGAGCUCUCCCCUACCCAGUCUUCCACUGGCAGAAGGACUUUUAUGUAGAAAUAAUUUCUAUCUUAGGCAGCACCACAGUGAUGUGGUAAAAAUGGGGAAAUCUGAAGCAUUGGUAGGGGCUUUUAGAAAUACUGGAGUAUUCCCAUCUCCCUGCCGGUUCCUACCUGCUGUAAAUGCUGGGGUGGGUACCUCUGACAUGCCAAUAUACCCAUGAGGAUCUCUCUGCUGCUACCAGCAUCAGACUGCUGCAUCCUGACUAUGGCAGGCCAGGGAGAAUGUUUGCCAGCCCCAGGACUGGGUCUGGCCCCUAGGAUGCCAGCAGGCUGGCGCUGCUGGAUCUCUGCAGGGAGUGAGGAGAAGCUGGGAAGUGUUUUGGCUCCGUUCAGGGCUGAAUAAACAGAGCAGCUUUUGCCUGGGAAUAGCUGCAGUCCCUGACCACACUGGUGAUGCAAUGACGUCCCUGUUGCUCCUCCUAGCAGGGGGAGUCUCCUGUUUCCUCUGGCUCAGGCAGAGACUCCUUUUUUUUUUUUUUUCCCCCACCCCCUUGGCACUCAACAGUUAGCUUACCAUUUCAGUCACCAAUGACAGCAACCAAAAAAUAAUACUACUGUACUCAGUUAAUCCAUAGGAAAAUCCCACAUCGGCACACAAAAGGUGGAGACAGUGCUCACGCAUUUUCCCCUAAGGGCCUUGGGCAAUGGAAAUUUUCUCAAGCUCCAUUCAUUAACGGAAUAGAUGAACAGUUAUGUAAGGUCACAUGAGGGAAGUGGUUGGUCUUUGGUCAAUGAAAGAGUUAGUCACACAUCAUUGAGCUGGAUGGCCCUGGGAGGAAUUGUGGAGCCACCCUUUGCAUGUUCAAGGACUGAAGAGGGAGAACUUUAGCUAUAAUUCCUCACUAUGCCCUGAGCUUGGGCACCAGCUUUACAGACCUGGCAUCACAGGAGGUAUGUGGUGCUGCUGAGCAAAAAAGCAGGGAUUUGAAGUUUCUUGAGAUCCUCCACACUUUCCUCUUCCCAGAUCACUCAACCCUCCUCUGAAGGAAUUAAGAAACUACCUGAUCUUGUGGUGCCAAUGUGCAUUUGUGCAUCCCCCCAGCGAGUCUGUUCUUGGCUGGGUACUCAGAGGACCAUUGGAGAGGCAGGGUGACAAAGCUUGGCUGGCAGCCUCCACAGGCCAUGGAGCAGCAGUCACCUGGCACCAGCGAUCAGCAGGACUCACAGCCUGAUGAGUGCAGAGGGCAGAGGAGGCCUGCAAAGGAAACUCGUGUUGAGCAGGUGGGGAGAAUGCGGGUGCCAGGUUGUACCUGUACCAUGAUCUCAUGCCUGAAGGCUGGUGACAAGUUGUAACUGUGUAAACCAAAGCGCCUCCCACAUUUGUUGGUCUGCCCCGAGCGCUGAGGCUGUGAAACCCUGCGAGGAGGACACCUUGACCCACCCGGGAGGGCUGCGGCGUAGAUCCGGCCCUCAGGAAAAGCCCAGCUGUCUCCCUGAGCAGGUGGUUUCCAGGAAGAGCCACAUUCCUGACUGUGAGGAGCUGAAAGGACCGUGUAUGGGAUAUGCCUUAAAAUAGACAGAGAUAAAGGAACAGAAUUCGGGUCCCAGGCAAUGUGGACUUGAUGGCAUCUCAGGCGUUUGGUCAGGAAGGGAAGUGCUGCUAAAACUACAGCUGCCUCAGCCUUGACUGCAAGAGUGUCUCAUAACCUUAGGGUUCCUUUCACUCAAGGAAAGGAUUCUGGUUGAGAUUUUUGGGGUUUUCCAGCCCAUUCUACUUUAUUGUUUUCUGUUUUUUUAAAAGCCAAGCUGAGCUGAAACAGAUUUCCCCUUUCCCAAAUGUUUAAGAUAUUGUGGAAAGAGGUCUACCUUAUAUUUGGAGAAAAAGUUUAGAUCUCUAAUAUUUAAAAUAAUUGAUAUAUUUUUAGGGGAAAGGAAGCACUUUUUGCAAUAUUUCAUUUCAGUAACCUUAAAGUGAACCUUUUUAGAACCAUCUUACUAUAUCUAGCCUUAUGGUUUUUAACAACUAAGUAUUAUUGUACUGACAACUAAGUAUUGUAUAUCUGUAGUAAUUUCUUUUCUUUAAAACAAAUUUAAAUGUUAUGAUACUUAAAAAAGGGGUUCCCUCAGCAGUAUCUCAAGCUGACAAGUUCUUUGAAAACAUCUUUCUCCGAAAAUUAUCUGGUUCUGAGGAACCAGCAGUACAUUUGAGAAAAGUCUGGUGAAAAGUUUUCAGCAAAUUCUCCUGAAGCAUGUAUCUUUUCACUGUAAAGCAUUUCCUGGCCAUUUGCAAACCAAGCAGAGAUGGGUUGAAAGACAGAGCUUCUUGAUGGCAGCUGGAAAAUUGGGAAAAAAGCAGUGAGAUGAAUUUUGGCUUCCAUUCACUCCUACUGCAUAGUUUGGCUUUGCUCUUUGAAUUAGUUGCUGUAUGUUCCCCAUUGAAAAAAUUCACUGCAGUAUCGGUUGUUUUGGUAAAAUACUCUGAGCCUGCAUAGUUCUAAGAGCUGUUGGGACAGCACACUUCAGGUAACACGACCCCAGAACUGCUCAGGGCACAACAUCAGUGAGCAGGAGAAAUGGGUUUUUCCUUAUUGCCCACCUGCUGCUUGGCUCUCUCACUGGCACAGCCUUGCAGCGUCUGCUGGAACGCGUGGCACCCGGAGACCAUGUGAGUUAAUUAUUAAACAAAAUGGAAUCAUUAUGCCCUGUGCCACUGCUGUUCCUCACAUAAGUCUGCUGCACAGGAGAAAAACGAUCCCGUGCAAUGAGAACAAAGAAACCUUUUCAGGAUGAGCACAUUUUCCUCUGCUGGAGAGCUGCUCUCCCUUCACCUCCCUGGAAGAGUGAUGCAUUUGGUCUCCAUAAAGGUGGGGAAUUUUGGAAAGACAGAUGAAAGUGAUACAGAGCCUCAGGGCACUGAUUUCCAUGAAAAAUCUCCCCAGCUGUUAGCCUAGGUCUGGAGCCAUUUCCUUUCAGAAAAUACAUUUCUACUAGCAACAUUUCAGGAAGGAGAGGAAGGAAAUAUUUACGAGUUACCUUUGGCAUUUCAAGGCUAGCACAAUUUUCACCAAGCUUCCCUUGAACUUCUAGAUAAAAUAUUGACUCCUGGACAUGGUGCAGAGGCCCUGGCAGGCUGUCAACCAGGAACACAAUUAAAGAAGACAGUCUCUGGUAAGAUAGCAUCCAGGACUUUAAAAAACAUCUGUGAAUAAUUUCACUUGACUGACACACAGGAAAAAAUGAAGACUUACAGGUGAGAUCCCCAGGUGCCAGCCACCCAGGGAAGGGUCCCCUUAGCUGAAAUAGCUGGUCAUCUCAGCUCUGUGAGGGGGUAGAAGAGAGCCAGUCUGGUUUCUCUGCUGUGAAGCCUUUCUGAAGCUUUUUCUCUUACACAGAGGGUUUCUCCUCUGUGGCUGCUCAGCCUGGCAGACACAGGAGGCUCAUGAAGGGCAUGUGCUGUGAUAAAAAGGGUGCAUGGGCUAAGACCCCAGCAGAUGGGGCUCCACCAGCUGCAGAAUUGCCCUGGCUGAGGGAUGGAAGCUGAGAUACUGGCAGAGGGUGGGUCAGGCCAUAGGUCUCAGGUGUAUCUUAGAUAUUUGGCUUGUGUCCAGCACGUCCAGGUACCAUGUAGAGACAGAUGCCCAAGUCUCUGCCUUUCAGCACUCGGCAUAUUGGCCCUGUGGAGGCAGAGCUCUGUGGCUGGAAGUAAAUAGAUGGGCAACAGUGACUGUUUCCCUGGGGAUUUAAUUCCUGAGGAUCUGUGCUCCAAGCACUUCUGCAGGCAGCCUGCAUACUUGACACUGGCGUUUUGCUGUCCCUGUCUUCGCUGGCCAGUGCCAAGUUGAAUUGGUCCUUUGCUGGUCCUCUCAAAGAGGGCAAAGGUUUUGGAAGGAGUCCCUCUGCUUUGCCACAUGCUGUAAUAGCAGGGAAACAGAAACAUAGAGGUCAUGUGGCCUAGGCAAAGCCAAAAAGCAAAGGGGCUGGCACGGCUGGCCAUAGCAGCCAGGACUCCUGCCUCCUGGGAGGCAGCCACUGGUUUGUAACACUACGUCGCUGAAUGUUGUUUAAAAGGACAAGAGCGAGCACACGCCUGCUCCUGCUGGGCUCAGUCAGUUGUGUUUGUGAUGGAUUUUGCUUUUCUUCAAGAGUUUACCUUGGCUCUUUCCCUACUGCUUCACUGGCACCCUGCGAAAGGACUGCAGUGACCCUUGUCUCCCGGAUGCAGAAGGAGUGCCUGGAAUAGACUGAGGAGUGACCCCACAGGCUGCACACAGCUGCCCAGCCUGCCCUGUAACCUCUUGGCUGUGAUGUUGGUCUUUGUCCCCUGUGUGGUGCUGGGUAUCUCUGCAUUCCUGAUGUAUCCCUUUGACCAGGAACCUGCUCACAUCUCCAGAGUCACCCAGCCAACGCUGCCUUUGCUUCAGGGGUGCAGGUGCUGUGUCACAGGUCUGUAGUAACCUGCAAAGAUCAAAAGUUUAGCAGGCUCCUAAGGGAAAGGAAAGCUGGUGAGUAAAGGGCACCCGGCACUCCAGGGCUGUAUGGUCCAUUUUAUCACCAGCUCUCUGUCACUCUGCUCCCCAUCCCCUCCUCCAGCCAGCACCACAGGGAGAUGGUAUGAAGAGGCCCAUAUCUGCAAAGACUGGGGAAGCCUGGACAUGAAUAAAAACCACAGCGGAAAGUCUGCCCUGCUUCAGGCUCACUGCAUACUUUCAUUCUUUCCUGAAGCAAGCAAGGGCACAUGCUUCCACAGGCAGUGGGGGCAAAGCCCACCUCCUUGCCUGUGCUCUGAGUUGGCUGGAUGUGAAAUAGCUCCAGUUCAGGGGAGACAUAGGUGCAAAAGACCUGAGACUGAUUUGAAACCUGUCUCUUGGUAUCUGUAGUCCAUUUAUGUAUGCUUACUGCUGGCAUGAGCCAUACAGGAGCUUUCAUCUCUUUUUCUCUCUGCCACUCUGCACAGUUCAGAGGCCAUGUGUCAUCAACUGGUUCUGGACAAGAGCUAACUGCAAAAUGUGUUGAAUGAACAUUAGUUCUCUAUUUCCACAACUGGCUGACUCAGGGAGCUGCAAUCACACAGAGCAAAAUCUUCUCUAGUGCCUUCUCCAUUGGGAUUCCUUGAGGGCUCACAUGGUUGAAGACAUGAGGGCAGUCUCAUCAUCCUCAGGUCAUUCUGAACUAGUUCCCAGUGACCCCCUGAGCUGUGCCUCUCUCCUGCCUCCCUGCUUAUUGGAGUCUUGGUCUACCCUUUGCAGAGGAACAGACACCCCUCUGUAAUCAGGUAUCCUGUUUUGCCUGCCUAGAACCAGGACCUUGCAACUCAGUGCUUAUGGACUCAGCAUCUCCACUACAUCAUGGCCAAUAGAUAUGCAAGCAGCUUCCCAGAAGAGCUCUGUGUAAAAUAUUCAGCAUCCUAGCAGUAACAGGGUGUCUGUCUCUAGUUUAUGUCACAUCACUUAGGUUCAGCUUAGCUCUAAGUCGGUGUUUACAGGUGGAUUAUUUUUAAGUAGAAAUUCAAGUGAAUCUAGUUCAAGUUAUAAAGAAAAUACACAAUGGUCAUGCAAAAUCAGGAUUACUCUCUGCAGAAAUAAGUUCCUUCAGCACUCAGUAUCUUGGCAAACUCAUGAGGCUGACUUGUCUGUCCCCUAAAUCAGGACUAAAGUGCUGAGAAAAGUCUUAGAACUUCAUCUUUCCUGCCUCUGGUAAUAAAGGCAACUGAGGAGAUAGCAGGAUAUGGAAUCUGGGCAGUCAGGACCUUCUUUCUCCCAAAAGGGACUGGACCAGCCUUCUUCACUUGUCCUCUGUAAACUUUAACUUCCUUAGCCAUUGUGGUGGGAAAACACAAGGAAUUUAGUAAUUUUGUCUUCCCUCCUUCCCAAAGAACCUUUAUUUAUUGUUUCUACUGUACACCUUGAUUUCAGGAUGUUAUUCUGGAUUCGGAUGUUUAAGUGUUUUCCCAUGCCUGCAGCCUCCCUGUAACCAUACAAGCCAGAGAUUAGGAGAUAUGUAUCACAGCAGGGGAUCUGGCACAGCGUUUGUCUUUUUUCCUCUACUUGGAAAGAACAGGGACAAAUAUUAGUUUGAGAUGAAAGAGAAUGUCUUCACUUUGUUAGGAACAGGGCACUGAUAAUGGCUCUGCCUCACAUGCUUGGCUAGCUUUGUGCCAUACCAUGGGAGGCUGCCAAACUCGAGUUCAGCUGAUCCCUUGCUAUCUGCUAGGGGAGGCAGAGCCAAUGCCCACUCAACGGGACUUUGUCCUCCCCAUGGCAGGCGGCUUAUGAAACGUCAGCCUUUGCGUGUGCUGGCAUGGCAGGAAGCUCUGGCCCUCACAAUAGCGGCGUUCUCCAUGGGCUCAGCUGGAAGAGGCUCACACAGAGUUAAACCUGUGCUUAGAGCACUUUUCAGCAAGAUCCCAUCAGUUACUGGCAGAGCCUGAGCAAUGGCUUCGGGCUGGAUGCACUUUCCACAGCACGAGUAAUGGUGUGUGUGUGUGUGUGUGUGUGUGUGCGUGCACAUAUAUGAGUCUAUAUUGCAUGUGUGCUCUGUACAUGUAGGCUAAAACCCACGGGCUUUCAGAGCUGUUUUUAAUCACCCAGCACAUUUCAUACUUUCUGUGGAUGGGGCACAGGGCAAGGCUGGCCUUAUCUGACCAAGCCAUCCAGACACUGUGCCUUGGGCUCCUGCUAUCGCAGCGCUCUCUGUUUUGCUGCCACAGACCUGUUUGUAUGGAGCACCUCUUUGCCAAUGCCAGUAAUUCUUUCCUGUUCAGAGAUGUUUUGAAACUGUGAGAAAAUACUGUUCUGGCUUCUGCAGUCCUUUCAGAGGGUGAUUUAACUGUUCCCUUGACGCCUUCAUGUUUGGAUCUGCUGCUGGCAGGAUUGGGUGCAUCUUCCAAGCAUGAGUUUGCCCUAUGGCUAUUUAUAAGUUAAGGGUUAAUAAGGAGGUGGGGCUCUGAAGAGUUUUGUCUUGUUCCUUACAAGAUCUGAGCUGGGACACCUUCCUCUGAGCGUCAUUUGCACUAGCUGCUUGCAGAGGGAGCUCUGCCUUCAACCUGAUUUGAGAGAGCCGGGCAGGGUGCUUGAGAGAAUUCUCUGGCUUGUAGGAAAGUAAUUCACUGGCGUGACUGUGGUUUCCCAAGCAAUCUGCUCUUUUGUUGGAAAUCAAACUAGCUGACACAGGCAAGGGGAAAUGUUUGUUCAGUUUGAGAUCAGAGGCUCUUGUUUUGAAAGCUCAGUUUUAUCCUCAGUCACAAUUUCUCUCCAUACACCAUUAAUCACUUGCCUGGGAACAGAGAGUUUGAACUGUCUCCAGAGCUAUACAAGCAGACUUGGUGGCUGUCAGUAGGACUCUGUAAAUAAGUACCAGCAGGCAACUGUGUAAGUAAACAGCUUCUUUGGGAGCACCAGUGCCUUUCUCCACAGUUUACGUAGUGCAGCGGAAGGGCUCUGUCAGCUUUUGCAGGGACAGCCUAAGCACCACACACCAGGCAGGGACAAGCUGCAACUUCCAAUUGACAGUUUUACCACCGGCUUCAGUGCAGCUCAGAAGGAGCAGGAUUUGUAUAGGGAAGCCAGACAACCAGCUGUGUUGCAGAAACAGCUGUGCCGUGACAUCAUCUUUGUCCCUCGGUGUGUAUGUGUGUUUCAACAUAGGCUUUAGUUACACAAGUGUGAACUCACCUUACCUACGGGGCCAGCAUUCUUACAAAAUGGGUUGUGCCUGCCAGAAGAAAGGUUUUAGGAUUCAUGAGUGGGGGACAAAUUCUAUUUUAAUAGAAUAGGUAGGCUUCUACAGAAAGGCAUGCUGGUGCAACUGAGAGUAAUAUAUGUCCUGAGACCUUGAGAACUCUUUUAAGUAUUCCCCCUAGAAAAUAUUUUUAUGACCAUUUACAUAGAAUAUUUCAGAAUUUCUUUGGUAUGUACAUGUGUGGUUGAAAUGUAGAGAAAAGGAAUGCAUUUUCCCUUAAAGGUGUUCAUUUCCAUUAAAAGGCUAUUUUUCUGCUAAUACCUGUUGUGUUGUGGUUUUUUUUCCAGCUGGACAAUAUUACCCAGCCCUCAGGAGCCUGAUGCUUUUGGGCAAGACUCAAAUUAUUGAACCAAGGAUAUAAAUAAAUGCUGCUAAAUGGCUUAGCUCAAUGGCCUUUGCCCUUCCUGGG